rnacentral:rRNA from 1 species
GACGAACGCUGGCGGCGUGCUUAACACAUGCAAGUCGAACGGAAAGGCCCUGCUUGCAGGGUCCUCGAGUGGCGAACGGGUGAGUAACACGUGGGUGAUCUGCCCUGCACUUCGGGAUAAGCCUGGGAAACUGGGUCUAAUACCGGAUAGGAGCCAUUUUUAGUGUGAUGGUUGGAAAGUUUUUUCGGUGUAGGAUGAGCUCGCGGCCUAUCAGCUUGUUGGUGGGGUAAUGGCCUACCAAGGCGGCGACGGGUAGCCGGCCUGAGAGGGUGGACGGCCACAUUGGGACUGAGAUACGGCCCAGACUCCUACGGGAGGCAGCAGUGGGGAAUAUUGCACAAGGGGCGCAAGCCUGAUGCAGCGACGCCGCGUGGGGGAUGACGGCCUUCGGGUUGUGAACUCCUUUCGCUAGGGACGAAGCUUUUUGUGACGGUACCUAGAUAAGAAGCACCGGCUAACUACGUG